rnacentral:lncRNA from 1 species
UGAUUUCUCCUGACAUGCUAAGGACCGGAAUACAAUAAUAUUCGACCAUAUCUUUCAGAGAAAAAGAUGUUUAAUGACACGUAUCAAUGGCCUUCAGAAGGGCCUUAAACGCUCUAAUUCUGAGUAUCUGAGUAGGCUCAAGGUCUCCCUUCACCAGGAACUCGAGGAUACUCUUUUGCAGGAAGAACUCUAUUGGAUGCAGAAGUCAAGAUGUGAGUUCAUCUCCCUAGUUGACAAGAAUACAACCUACUUUCAUGUGCACACGAUGGCUAUGUGUAGGUAGAGUAGGAUUAUUAUGCUCCAUGAUAAUACGAGCAAUUAGAUUUCGGAUGAGAGUCAGCUUAAGCACAUGGUCACUGAAUCCUUUAUAGCACUAUAAUG